AGGACGAACGCUGGCGGCGUGCUUAACACAUGCAAGUCGAGCGGAAAGGCCCUUCGGGGUACUCGAGCGGCGAACGGGUGAGUAACACGUGAGUAAUCUGCCCCUAGCUCUGGGAUAGCUCCGGGAAACCGGGAUUAAUACCGGAUACGACCACCUUAGACAUCUUUUGUGGUGGAAAGAAUUUCGGCUAGGGAUGAGCUCGCGGCCUAUCAGCUUGUUGGUGGGGUAACGGCCUACCAAGGCGACGACGGUAGCCGGCCUGAGAGGGCGGACCGGCCACACUGGGACUGAGACACGGCCCAGACUCCUACGGGAGGCAGCAGUGGGGAAUAUUGCGCAAUGGGCGAAAGCCUGACGCAGCGACGCCGCGUGGGGGAUGAAGGCCUUCGGGUUGUAAACCCCUUUCAGCAGGGACGAGCGAAAGUGACGGUACCUGCAGAAGAAGCGCCGGCUAACUACGUGCCAGCAGCCGC
rnacentral:rRNA from 1 species